AAAAGAUUAUGGUCCCCACAGCAGGAUAUCUGUUCAAAUUUAGCUGCAACUGCGGGUGCUGUGAUUAUAAUGGAAGUCUGGAGACCCAAUGGAGGCUCUGAACCAGCGAUCCGGUCAGAGUCCGGAACAGUCACCGCUGGUCAGCCGCAGACAGCACCGUCUCCCAGCGCUACAGCCAGCAACGGCAUCUAACACCGGCCCUCCAUCCCUCUCCUGCUCCUGUUUGCCCAUGCUGCCGGGUCACAGAGGGCAGGCACCGGAGGACCUCCAGCGCUGACACACGCAUUCGAAUUCAGAGGAGCCGAGACUCAGAACCAUAACUCUGCACCAGUAAAUAUGCAAAGAAUGGCAGCAAAAUUCUUUAACACUUACAUAGAGCAGCAGGCACUGAGGCCAAGCUAAAGGGAAAAAGACUCUGUAGUGCAUAAUACAUAUGGUUAUGGUGGAUGAAGAGGAACCGCAAUCAGAGAUAGCCAGGAACUUAACGGUGUUAUCUGGCGGGAGAGGGUGUUUUUCAUAGCUAUGCCCAAAAUUAAACAUCUACUUACCUCCAGCACUUUCUCCUAGAAACACUUCCAAACAAGCCAUACUUGUUCAGUCUUUUUUGUUACAUGUAACAUGCUGAGAACUGUAGAGCCUAAAAUGCAGAUCUUGCGUGUUUCACAAUUUUCUGGAGCACUGCACAGUCUGACCUUGGGGUAAAUGUGCUCU